GAGAAAUAAGAAAAUUUAAAAGAAGGUUGAAGUUGAUGUCACAAAACAUAGGAUAGAACUGAGCAGAGUUUGCAUUCCUAAAGCUUUCCGUACCCACAUGGGAGUGCCUGCUACAUUAUUAAAAAGGUAGAUGUAUAAUGAGAGAAGGAAAACAGCGUCUUUAGGACCUGCCAAAACCUCCCAGGGAGGUGAAAUUAUUUCCCAAGACGCAAACAAAAGUUAAAUCUGCAGAAACAGAUCUAUAGGGUUAUCUUUUGUUCUAAAACAAAAGAUACAUGUCAUCAAAGAAGUAUAUCAAUUUAAUUGUGUUGGUGUUACAUUUACAAAAAGUCCCUCAGAGCCACUUGUAUAAUCUGAGUCAAGAAAUUGGACCAACUCUGCAAAUAUUAGGGUCUAUUAUAUGGACCAUUGCAGUUAUGAUGUCCAAUGAAAAUUCUAGAAGAAUAUUGGAUAGGUGGAAUAUUUCUAAACAUUCGGAAUCCUUUUAGUUACGUAAUCAAAUCCACUUAGCAUCAGAACUUUAGGAUAUUUGAUGGAAUUACCCAAAGGAAAUGGAACAACAAAAGGAGACUACUUAAGGUGUUGACUUCAUGAAGGUAUCAAUUCCUCAAAAUUCUUCAAAAACAGAUUAUUGACUCAAAACAUGAGACAUAUUCUUUUCUGCUCUAUGAAUAUCCAGAAUGCCCAGAAAGGAUUAGCGAACCACAGCUGGAAUAUACAAAGUUGUAGUUUUAUGGAUUUUUUUCAAGGAUUCAUUCUUUCAAGUAUGUGCUUUUUGGACUCAGAUAGCCAACGGAUACUUACAUUCGGAGGUUAAAUAAAUUUGCUUUUAGAAAAAAAAAUUAUGAAUCUGCCAGGAGAACUAAUCGCUUUCUUCUGGUUUUAACAAGGCCAAUUUCCAAAAAAGCCAGAGAAAACCACAACAACCUGAGAAGGGAAUCUUUCUAGUAUUCCAACUGGAAUAAAUAACUCUCUCUGAGCUUACUUUUCACUGGAAUUUAUAUCUCAUUAGGGAUGAAAUCUCAGCAGAGUAAUGUGCUCAGCACCAUUCAGGCUGGAAUCUCACCAGCCAUAAACAUUUCAGAAAUACACAUCUAAGCCAGCCUCGGCCAGGAGCCAAGACAAUACAGUAAUCCACUUGGACAGCUGAGAGGGUGAAGCUGGGUCAGAGAUAAGUAGCGCCGGCUGCUUGUUCGUAGCUCACCUCGCACCUGAUAAGCCCAGACACAGGGCUGCGCAGCACAGGUGUUCCGGUUGUGUCUGCCUAAGACUUAAAGACUCCACCAUCCUACCUCUGUUACUGUAACUAUCUCGCCCCUGAGACUCAAUAUUUGCCAAAAUGAAUAAAUUUCCUAAGUGCGUGGAGGCUGCUGAAAUAAAAUCCUCAGUCUUUUUUUGAAUUGUAGUUUUGUUUCUCCUUGAUUUUAUUUCAUUUGUUCAAUAAAUAUUCGAGUGCUUCCUAUGUGUUAGGGGUUUCCUUAUGGUUAAGCCAAGCAGAGGAGAGAGAGCUGCCAAAGUUUGCCCUGUUCAGUUUCCUUCCAAAGGAACAAACUCCCAAAGGAGCCGGCAGUUUACAAAGAUGUUUUCUAUGGCGGCCGCCAGUGGUGG
rnacentral:lncRNA from 1 species